GUCAACGUUUUCAAAUCAAACUCAAGGAAGGGGAACAAAGAGAGACCGACGUGUAUGGACAAUAGAUGAAGAAAAUGCACUUCUAGAUGGUCUUGAAGAACUAGUUGCGCGAGGAAUGAAAGCCGAUAACCACUUCAAGAGUGGUUACAUGAUUAUGUUAGAGAAGUGGUUUGAAGAAAAGCUUCCUAG